rnacentral:rRNA from 1 species
GUCCCAGACUCCUACGGGAGGCAGCAGUGGGGAAUAUUGCACAAUGGGGGGAACCCUGAUGCAGCGACGCCGCGUGGGUGAAGGAGUAUUUCGGUAUGUAAAGCCCUAUCAGCAGGGAAGAAAAUGACGGUACCUGAGUAAGAAGCCCCGGCUAACUACGUGCCAGCAGCCGCGGUAAUAUGUAGGGGGCGAGCGUUAUCCGGAUUCACUGGGUGUAAAGGGAGCGUAGACGGCCAUGCAAGCCAGGGGUGAAAGCCCGGGGCCCAACCCCGGGACUGCCCUUGGAACUGCAUGGCUGGAGUGCGGGAGGGGCAGGCGGAAUUCCUGGUGUAGCGGUGAAAUGCGUAGAUAUCAGGAGGAACACCGGCGGCGAAGGCGGCCUGCUGGACUGCGACUGACGUUGAGGCUCGAAAGCGUGGGGAGCGAACAGGAUUAGAUACCCUUGUAC